AGAAGAAGACAUAGGUUGUUGAACAGCAUAUUUGACCCUGAAUCAGAGGAAGAAUCUAAAAUAGAGGAGCAACCAGUCGCCCAUAGAUUGGAAAUGACUACUUCAGAGUGGUUAUGAAAAGAAUGGCCCAGGUUCCUGAGGAGCUGACCUGAAUGACUAUAAUGGCCUCGAUCCGUUGUGCCUCUAUAUUUAUUCUCUGCAAAAUGCAAUGAAUAUUUACAGAGCUGACCAUGGCCGUUUGAGAAUCAGAGGGAUGGAAAGGCAAUGAAGUGACUUGGCCUACAGGUCUUUUGUGAGCAGGAGCUGGGGUUUCCUUAGAAGAAGCGUCCGUGUCAUGAUCCCCUCGUGUGUGGUGCUACGCAUAUGGAGGGAGCGUCCGAAUACUUCAGGGCAGUACGUUGGAUUCAGACCCCUUGUCGACUGAACCGUGACUUAUGUUCAGCAACAGCAUCCUCCAUGGAAGGUCUGUCAAGCUGAGCACACAAGUCUUGGGGCACAGGAAUCCGCUGGACGGCAUCCCAAUCAGGAAGAGGGUCUUUGAUGAUCUCGAAGAGGACAAGAAAGAGGACUUAUAUUGGAUACUGUAAUACAGUGCAUUGUAGGCUGUAUACUGUACAAUAAACAAAUUGUAUGGCCCUGAA